GAUGAACGCUAGCGGCAGGCUUAACACAUGCAAGUCGAGGGGCAGCAGUAGAUUAGUUUACUAAUUUAGCUGGCGACCGGCGCACGGGUGCGUAACGCGUAUGCAACCUAGCCUACACAGGAGGAUAGUCGGAUGAAAAUUUGAAUAAUACUCCAUAGCAUCGAAAAGAGGCAUCUUUUUUCGAUUAAAUUCACGAAGGUGUAGGAUGGACAUGCGUUCGAUUAGGUAGUUGGAGAGGUAACGGCUCACCAAGCCGACGAUCGAUAGGGGGUCUGAGAGGACUAACCCCCACACUGGUACUGAGAUACGGACCAGACUCCUACGGGAGGCAGCAGUGAGGAAUAUUGGGCAAUGGACGCAAGUCUGACCCAGCCAUGCCGCGUGCAGGAAUAAGGCCCUAUGGGUCGUAAACUGCUUUUGUAAGGGAAGAACCACAGGUACGAGUACCUGUCUGACGGUACCUUACGAAUAAGGACCGGCUAACUCCGUGCCAGCAGCCGAC
rnacentral:rRNA from 1 species